rnacentral:rRNA from 1 species
UACGGGGGGGGCAAGCGUUUGUUCGGAAUUACUGGGCGUAAAGGGCUCGUAGGCGGCCAACUAAGUCAGACGUGAAAUCCCUAGGCUCAACCUAGGAACUGCGUCUGAUACUGGAUGGCUUGAAUCCGGGAGAGGGAUGCAGAAUUCCAGGUGUAGCGGUGAAAUGCGUAGAUAUCUGGAGGAAUACCGGUGGCGAAGGCGACUACCUGGCCUGUUCUUGACGCUGAGGCGCGAAAGCUAGGGGAGCGAACGGG